GCAGGUUAAAAGAGAGAGAUUCUCCUAAGUGUCAAUCCGGUCCUGCUGGCUCAGGAGAACAAAGCUGGGCUGGCAAAGUGAAUCAGAUAGCGUCCUGUGCACGCCCAAGCUUCAGAAUAAAGCCGGGUUCUUUGAAGAUGUGUUCAGAUGUUCCACAAUUUGAAUGGAGCUUGAAGAUGGGAUGGAGUUAA
rnacentral:lncRNA from 1 species